rnacentral:rRNA from 1 species
AUUGAACGCUGGCGGCAGGCCGAACACAUGCAAGUCGAGCGAGCGGCGGACGGGUGAGUAAUGUCUGGGAAACUGCCUGAUGGAUGGGGAUAACUACUUGAAACGGUAGCUAAUACCGCAUACCAUCAGAUGUGCCCAGAUGGGAUUAGCUGGUAGGUGGGGUAACGGCUCACCUAGGCGACGAUCCCUAGCUGGUCUGAGAGGAUGACCAGCCACACGGGAACUGAGACACGGUCCAGACUCCUACGGGAGGCAGCAGUGGGGAAUAUUGCACAAUGGGCGCAAGCCUGAUGCAGCCAUGCCGCGUGUGUGAAGAAGGCCUUCGGGUUGUAAAGCACUUUCAGCGGGGAGGCGUUACCCGCAGAAGAAGCACCGGCUAACUCCGUGCCAGCAGCCGCGGUAAUAC